UGGCCGGGUGAGAAAUUUUUAUAGGCGCGGCCUAGUGAACAGCAAAAUUUCCAAAACAAGACGGUGAACAAGAUAUUUGACACCAGUAAUGAUGGUGACAACCACUAACCAAAAAUCUCGGACCAAUUACCUAGAGGAACGUAUCUUUUCCAGGCAUGGAUUCACAGACGCCACAUUAAUUCCCAUACUACCUUCUAGCAGAGGCCAUUACUUAUGGCUUAUUUUAAAGCCAAAUUGAUCAAUUCCAAGACCGAGACCACAUCUUCCAAUGGAGAAAUUAUGGGCUGUAGCUCCAACUUACAACUUGUUUCUGUUAUGUUUUGCAAGUCAUGUGAUCUGUUAUAUACAACUCAUGUGAGACUUAAAAAAUGGUAUAAAAAACUAGAAACCUAUCAUGUCUUCUGAGAGCAACAAGGUUGGAGAGAUGCUUCCAUGAUUUUGAAUUGUUAUCGACUGCUAGGAGUUCCGGUUGCUUUAUUGGGAAAAAUGUAUUUCGGAAUGGUAUAGGAACUGGGAGAUUGAGAAGCUUGCGAGGUUAUCUAAUGAGGUUAACACAUUUUAUGAGUUCUUCCUAUGUGACUCAGGACUGAAUAUCUUGCCUGAUGAUGGAUCAUGGAGUGUGAUCCAAAACAUUGAUGCAAAACACAUUCACAAUUGAAUCCAGCAGCAGAAACACAGACAGUCUCAUGGAUUGUGGAAAUCUAGUAACAUUUAAUUGCCUUGUUGUUUACAUAUCUGAUCUGGAGUUAGACCAUGCUUGGAUACAACAAGAUAUGUAUCAGUUAAUCCACAAAUUUUGUGCAAUAUUUUUAUAAGUAUAAAGUAAGGAUGUGACUGUGUUAUGUCUAGUUAGACACAGUUGUAUUCAGGAUACAAGGUACAGAUUACCCAGAUAGGCACAAUUAUAGCCAGAUGUGGGAGUUUCCCAUAUCAAUAAUUGUGUUUAUUUUAAAUAAAUUUUUAUUUAUAGCAGUUUUAGGAAAUUGUUCUUAUUUGCAAGGUUAUUUAUAUCAAAACUAAAUCGUUUUCUAGAAAUAAGAAAAAGUCCAAUGUUGUAUGUUAAUAUUUUUUUUCCUACAUUCACAUUUAUCUAUAUGACAUAUCAACAGCAUACCAUAUUCUGAAGUCCCAAAAAAACUUAGUAUCCUGGAAACUUGGCAAUUUGGUUAAAUGCAAAAACAACAAUUGUGUGGCAUAUUUUUUCUACUUCAAUAAGAACAAUGUUUCCUCCAAAAGCACUUUAAAAGGUUCUAGAAAACUCUUAUUCUAACCAUUUGAUUAACCUUUUCUUUUACCUUAUUUAACUUUUUUUUCUUUUCGGAAAAAAGGUUCAAGAGCUUUGUAUUAGUGUAUGUAAAAUUUAGAAUAAAACGAGGGCAAAUCAUUUAAGAAAACAAGUUGACAAUCUGUCCAUUAGGCAAAGCAUAUGGUAUAACCUUGGAGAGCAAUAUCAGCUCAGAUUAAAAAAUGAGUUAGAUUUCUGAGCAUCUAUCUUGAAAUAUGUAUAGCCAAGAGAUCAAUAACAUUGAAAAUAACAGCAUCUAAAGUACUAUAUAAGAAUGUAAAUGAUGCCAAUACAUAAGGACGCUCUGUAAGUCUAUGAUCUUCCCUUCAGGAGAAACAGGUCCAUUUUCUGGGGCCUGCAACAGGUCCUUUUACUUUGGAUCAGGUUCCUUCCUUCCUUCCACUUGAAGAAGGGGAAUCUUCUAAAAUCUAAAGAUUUUGAAAGAGAACUGGUUCUAAUAAUGGUUUCUCAUCAACUGUUGGAUACAUUCUUCUUCCUUAUUGAUAUAAUUGUACAACUGGAAAAUGCCUUCCGACAGAAGACUUUAGUUCCCAUGGUUCCCUAUUUUUCUAGCUAGAUGCAAGAUAGUUCCCUCCAGUUUAAUGUUUCCUUGCUCGUUUUUAAGUUACCUUUUUUAACUUAAAUACAAGGCCGGCCGGCCAUAUUUUCUUAAAUCUCAUAGUAGUUUCAAGAUGCAUGUCAUUAUCAAUGUCCCUGUCCUCUUGGUGACUUUUGAAAGGAAAAUUUUGAACUUCUUGGAUUGUAUCAUAUGCAAUCUGUCAAUAGUUUAAGAUGUGGUCAAAUUAAAAAUAUCAGGAAAGUAAUAGCUUUCUUAUCUGCACUUAAUUGAAAACUUUCAUGUUUCAACUGAUUCAGCGAAAUGUUCUCCAAAUAAAGUGUAAAAGCCAUUAAUGGGAUGAACAUUAAAUCAUAAUAACAGCAAAAAAUAUAACAAGAUCAAAAUUUUUCAGUGUACUAGUUUUGUCCACAAGCCCAAAAGCUCAAUACAAUUUCACACACAAGGAACAAUAAAUUACCUGUUCAGUAAUAUCCAUUCCCAUAUAAUUGACUCCAAUCGUCUCUCCAGUUUUGCUGAAAACAGGCUCUACAUAGAUUAAGAAAGUCUUUGUUCCAAACAACUCUGUUUCAAAUGUAAUUUCCCGCUUUGCUGGUAAUCCACGUUGUAAAACUUCUGCCUUGAAAUCUUGAGAUUCUUUUACACCAGCGCCAGUAAAUAUCUCAACAUCAGUUCUCCCUAUAAUAUCCUGCAAAAGAAAAUUGUCUCUCCAAACAAACUACUUCCAUGUCAGAUUAUUUCCACCAAGUGAAAAAGAAAACAACUUGGUGCGAAACACUUCUCCACAUGAAGCAGAAGUAGAAAAUGUGAAAUGCAAAGAAUAAGUGUUAGUCAAGCAUUGCAAGCUAAGUAUUUUGAAACAGCUUUAGACAUUCAUCAGUCCUGAGUUGGAACCUGAUAAAUAUCAAAAACUUUUGUGCAUUUAUGAUAUCUUGAUCUCAGGUACAAUUUAAUUUAAACUGUAAGAAAACAAUCUAAUUUAUCCUCAUAACUGUAAUGAUGGGAAUAUAAUUGUGCGCACAUGUCCAAACUAUAAAUAGAAUGCUGCUGUUUUAACUUAAUGAACGGCUAUUAUGGCACAAGCAAAUACGUCAUGCUCUUAUAAAAGUGAUGUUUCUGCAGUGCAUCAUUACACAAGAAGCAAGUUUGAAGCAAACAAUUGAAUAGAACUAUAAAUCAACAUGAAAAUUAUAAGUUAGGAGAAUAAAAAGGAAAGAUUGAACUGGAAGUAACUAGCACGUUCAGUUGGUUUGAAAACAAACUUUACCUCUUCUUGGAGACUUGGAAAAUGAUUGUAGAUAAAACGGUAGCGCAACUCCUUGUCCUAAAUAGUAAUAAUCCACGUGUAACAAAAAAAAAGGAAUAACAAUUAGAACCCCUUUGAAUCCAAACUGCUAUUCGGUUGAAAAUAAAGCAGUAGAAAAUGAAUUUUAACUAUCUUUUAAAAAGCAAUCCAUUGCUCUUUCCAUGUUUUGCUUCCUUUUUGUAUCUCACAGCAUGUAGAGGACAAAUAAUUUGUCUUCCAAAUUGAUAGUCAGGUGUUCCCAUAAUAUGCAAGGUACUGUUGGUUGACUAGAAAAGCAUUCAAAAAAAGAAAUUCCUCAUCUCUCAUAUCAAAGCUAAAAACUUCUCAACUUUGAGAAUAAAUAUUUCAAAGAAUGUGGUAAUUAUUCAUGUAUCAAAUUCAGUAAUUCAAAAAAAUCAAUGCUCACAUGGACGUUCAUCCUGUAUGCUGCAUGAAAUGCAGUAUUUACAUAGCUUUGCUCAAGAUCAAAAUAUAUUAGAGAAUAUUUUCAAUCUAUACAUCACAAUGUGGACAACUUUGCAUGUGUAAACUUCUUUUUUAGGGCUUGAUCAAACAAAAUAACCUUUUCCAAGCAAAUUUUUCCAACAGUAUUCUGCAGCUACAUGCCAAAUACUUAUAAAAUUAUAAAAAAGUCAAAUUUCAAUUGUAGACGUGUAUUUUACCAAAUUCAUUGUAUCUCUUAGGCAAAACUUCAAUGUGAACAGUUCUGUCUUCUGUCCCCUUGUGCUCAAGAGAUUGUAACUAAAAUAGAGUUCGUAUAAUUAACACUAGGACUAAAUAAUAGAGACGUUCCUAAUGAUAAGUUUUAAUGGACUGUGGAUACAUAUUAAAAAUGAGAGAAUUCGUUAAAAAUCACAGAUGGGAACUGGAAGAGAGAAGCACUCUUGAUAAGAGAUUUUAAAACAAUAUACAUUUAGGUUCCUUCAAUACUUAUAUUUUUUUAUUUGUGAUUUGACUUCCCAAAUUACUUCAUCGAAUGGUUGAAUCAUGACUAACAAUUUGAACAAGACGGAAGAAGUUUUGAUUACACAUAACACAAAAGGAAGUGGAUAAUGCGUAAAAAAUGCCAAUAAAUACCAUCAGAAUAGGCUGAUUUAUCUUUGUAUUGCAAAUUGAAAUUACCAAAUAAUAAUUAUGACUUAAAUUUAAUAAUAAAAUCUUAUUACCAAUCAAUACUAAUUGACUUAUAUAUAAGAAGCUUGUAGUUUUUGAAAAAAACUCUGAUCUUAGUGCAUAUUUACUAAAAUAGAACCUUCUCAUAGCAACAAAGUUAAACAAAACUUGAAAUAGAUUUUGGUAUUAUGUGAUCAAUUCUUUUAAAAACCAUAAAAGAUGAGGCAAUUCUACAUUCAAAGCUUUUGCCAUACUACAACAGGAAUUUGUAAAUAUUAUGGGAAAGAAACAAAAUAUAAUAUUGGUGACAGAUACCUGAUGGCCAAUGACGACUGGUGCAUUCUGUAGAAUGAAAUGCAAAAAAUUGUCUGCUCUCCUUAAAAUCUGAGAUAAUUCUUCUACUGGUGAAGUUUCCUUUGCCAAAACUCUUAGGUUUUCUUGCAGUUUCUCCUGAAGUUUGUUCUCUCUUUGAAGGCUUUCAUCAAGUAAUUUUUCCAUUUUUUUGGCCCGCUCCUUCCAAUACUCUAUAGAAUCAUGUUCAACAUCUAUUUGCCAUUUAUUUUUGCAAAUUGAAAUGUCUUUGUUAAAUAUUGGAGUUGCAUCUCCAAAUGCAUAGUCAUCUUGAAGAAUUGAAAUUGGCCUCUUGUCUCCAACAAAAUUAUCUGCCUCAAACAUAUGCUCCUCCAAAAUUUCGAGUUCCUUAAGUUGAGCUUCUUGCUUUUGCUUGUUUAAAAUAUCAAUUUGUUCAUUGAGAAGACGGAAGGCAUUGGCCUGUUUAUGCUCCCACUGCUUCACUAGGUAAGACAAUUGUGAAGACCCUUUCUCACUGAAAUUGGUCAAUUCCAUGAGACGUUUGAAAUCCACAAUAGAUGGUUCCUCCGCUAUUGAAACCUCAUCCAACAUAUCUUGAUCUGCAGCUGGUUUGUCUAUAUUAAACUGCUUGUCGGAUUCUUUCCCUAAAUUUUCUGGCCACAUUGAUGAUAAAAUUUCAUCAUCCAUAUCUGAAGAAUAGUCCUCUUCUUCCAUAUUGCAAUCCUUGAAGAAAUAUUAAAACCACUUCAGCAUGAAACUACUUCCUUGGAGUAGGAAUUACCAUUCAUUUCACAUAUACAUUAUGAAGUUCUCAUAUGUGAAGAAAAGGAUCAAUCCCAACCAUUGAAAAUUUUUUACAAGUCUUAUUUCCUUAACUGUUCCCUGAUGGCCAGGUUUUUACUGCUGGUUAUGGGCAAAUACUCUGCAGCAUGCUGUUUCUACUCCCACUACAUUUAAGCCUUAAAACACCAUCCCGUGAUAGAAAUCAAUCAAAUUCAUAAGCUUAUAUCCUGCACAGAAGAAAGUUGAACAACUGGUUAAAAUCCUUGAGUAAUAGGCAUCUAAGUUCUUAAAAGCAGAAAAAUUGACUGAAAUAUUCAUUGACAUUCAUGUAGUUGCUUAAGACAAUUCUGAAAAUGCAUUUCUAUAAACGUUUUCCCAGUAUCCUGAUUUUGUUUAAGUAUUCAUUAUUAUGUAAAGUUAAAACAAUCUGUAUGCCAUCCCCAAGGCAUUUACCAUCCUGCCUUAGAUAAAGUGAUAACUCCACAAUCAAAUUAAUAAACCGUCACCUGUUGGAAUAAAUGCUCCAAAAUAAACAUGUAUUAUCAGCUAAGUUCGAUGUGCUGUCAAACAUGUAUGUUAGUCUAUCAGUUAGCUGUCAAUCAACUACAAUUAGUUGUCAAACUCUUAGCAGUUUAAUAGGAAGUUUGUUGAGUUAUCUUGCACAUAUAAAUAUGUAACCUGGCGAUGAAUAAUUCGGAAGAGUUCUUCUGCAGUUCCAUUGUUUGAUUUUUAUUUUUGUUGUUGCUGUCAUAAUUCUAUUUUGGUAUUAGAGCCGUCCUAUCCUUUCCUGUUAAAGCCGUAGUUCUGCUUCUUCUGUGAAGUUCUAGUUUUUCUUUGCAAAGCACAUGAAGGCCAUAAGCCCGAGUUGUUAAAUCUGCAUUUAUAUGUAUAUAUAGUGUUUAGAGGAAAUCUGUGCAGCAUCAUAAGUUUGAGCCCCGUAGGUGACCAGCCUUUUGGCACAGUGAAAGAAACCAAAUCCAUAUUCAUGUGUGCGCAGUCUACAUGUAAGCAGCUUCGGCUAGCAGCAUAUGUGAUUGUAGUCAAGGCAAAUUAGGAGUUUGAGCCCAUUGCAUUUUUCUUUUGUUUUAACAGUUGUGUUUUUUGUAUCUUUGUUUCUAUGUUUAAAAAGUCUGAGAUAAAACCAUCCAGUAGUUCAAAACUCCGAUUUAAUUGAGUUGUUGCAAUUAAUAUCUGUUGGUUAGCUGAGCAUUUCUCAUUAACUGUUCUUGCUCUGGUGAGUUGUGGCGUGGUGAGAGUGCACUUUAUUGGAAGCGACCAUCAAAGGGGGAAUCAAGGGAAGCUGAGAAGCAGCAUUGCAUGUUCUUAGUUGAAGAGGAGCUGAAACUACAUGCUGAUGUUAGCAAAGAGAAUUGCUGUGGUGUAGCCAAUAAAGGUGAAGGCGGCCCAGUCUACUAGGUUUGAGAAGAAGACUCCUACCAAGUCAAAUCCUGUUGGCAUGGCUAUAGUUGUUGGCAUGGCUAUAGUUGUUGUUGAGGAACCACCAGAUAUAGAUAGUGAUGAUGAUUUCAUUGAUAAUGAAGCAUUUGUCUUAUUUUGAAGAGGCCAAUGUUUUUUUGAAGAUAGUAAAAGAUGCAAUAGAGGCUAGAUAGAUGCUCAAUAUUCUGAGGUGCUAACGGAUUGGAGGAACUAUACCUCAUUAAGGUUAUGAAGGUUAUGAGACAUACAUGUGAGGAUUGGUGUCCACUAGUUCAGGGGAGAUAGCUGGGAGUUCAGCAUCAUAUCUUUACGAGGGUGACGAGUCAACUGCAGAUGGUGUCCAAUGGUGUUGGGAACUUGGAUGAUAGCUGCAUGACUAUACCAGCACUUGGGAGUAACUUGAAAAAGUCUUACUAGUCUAUGAACUAGUUUUCAAAGAACAGCUUUUACACAAUGUAUUUCAUAUUACUUAAUGUUGUAAGUCAGCUUAUUAUUGUAGCUUUAAGACGGGGUGUUGGAAUAAAUGCUCCAAAAUAAACAUGUAGAUGUGUCUUGUUUGUUAUCAGCUAAGUUCAAUGUGCUGUCAAACAUGUAUGUUAGUCUAUCAGUUAGCUGUUAAUCAACUACAGUUAGUCAAUCAGUUAGCUGUCAAACAUGUAUGUUAGUCUAUCAGUUAGCUGUCAAUCAACUACAGUUAGUUGUCAAACUCUUAGCAGUUUAAUAGGAAGUUUGUUGAGUUAUCUUGCACAUAUAUAUAUGUAAUCUGGUGAUGAAUAAAUCGGAAGAGUUCUUUUGCAGUUC